AAGUGGAAAAGGAUGUGGAGUUGCGCAGACAACUAGGACGUUGGCUCAGAAGCAGCCAUCAUUCAAAGAGUGCGUAAUAGCUCACUAGUCGAGUGACGCCGCGCCGAAAAUUUACCGGGGCUAAGCAUGAUACCGAAACUGUGGAUGUGCAUUUAUGCACGUGGUAGGAGAGCGUUCUAGCGGCGGUGAAGCAUGACCGAGAGGACAUGUGGAGCUUCUAGAAGUGAGAAUGCCGGUAUGAGUAACGAAAGACAGGUGAGAAUCCUGUCCGCCGCAAGACUAAGGUUUCCUGGGGCAGGCUCGUCCGCCCAGGGUAAGUCGGGACCUAAGGCGAGGCCGAGAGGCGUAGUCGAUGGACAACAGGUUGAAAUUCCUGUACUGCACCGAAUCGUUAUGAGCGAUGGAGGGACGCAGGAGGCUAGCAGCGCGUGGUGCUGGAUACCACGUUCAAGCGUCAAGUCUGAGAGCGAGUCAAAUGCUUGCUCUCAUAAGGACAAGGCGUGAUGAGGAGCGAAAUUAAAGUAGCGAAGGCUGCGACGUCACACUGCCGAGAAAAGCUUCUAGCCAGAGACGGUGCACCCGUACCGCAAACCGACACAGGUAGUCGAGGAGAGUAUCCUCAGGUGAGCGAGAGAACUCUCGUUAAGGAACUCGGCAAAAUGGCCCCGUAACUUCGGGAGAAGGGGCGCUGGUCGCAAGAUCAGCCGCAGUGAAAAGGCCCAAGCAACUGUUUAUCAAAAACACAGGCAUCUGCAAAAUCGUAAGAUGAAGUAUAGGUGCUGACACCUGCCCGGUGCUGGAAGGUUAAGAGGAGAGCUUAGCGCAAGCGAAGGUUUGAAUUGAAGCCCCAGUAAACGGCGGCCGUAACUAUAACGGUCCUAAGGUAGCGAAAUUCCUUGUCGGGUAAGUUCCGACCUGCACGAAAGGUGUAAUGAUUUGGGCACUGUCUCAACGAGAGACUCGGUGAAAUUAUAAUACCCGUGAAGAUGCGGGUUACCCGCGACAGGACGGAAAGACCCCAUGGAGCUUUACUGCAGUUUAAUAUUGGGUAUCUGUCAAGCAUGUACAGGAUAGGUAGGAGCCGGAGAAGAUAGGACGCCAGUCUUAUCAGAGGCGCUGUUGGGAUACUACCCUUGCUUGACGGAUGCUCUAACUCAGGCCUGUGAUCCAGGCCGAGGACAGUGUUUGACGGGCAGUUUGACUGGGGCGGUCGCCUCCUAAAGUGUAACGGAGGCGCCCAAAGGUUCCCUCAGAAUGGUUGGAAAUCAUUCGCAGAGUGUAAAGGUAAAAGGGAGCUUGACUGCGAGAGAGACAACUCGAGCAGGUACGAAAGUAGGGCUUAGUGAUCUGGUGGUACCGUAUGGAAGGGCCAUCACUCAACGGAUAAAAGCUACCCUGGGGAUAACAGGCUUAUCUCCCCCAAGAGUUCACAUCGACGGGGAGGUUUGGCACCUCGAUGUCGGCUCGUCGCAUCCUGGGGCUGAAGUCGGUCCCAAGGGUUGGGCUGUUCGCCCAUUAAAGCGGCACGCGAGCUGGGUUCAGAACGUCGUGAGACAGUUCGGUCCCUAUCCGUCGUGGGCGUAGGAAAUUUGAGAGGAGCUGUCCUUAGUACGAGAGGACCGGGAUGGACGCACCGCUGGUGUACCAGUUGUCUUGCCAAAGGCAUCGCUGGGUAGCUAUGUGCGGACGGGAUAAGCGCUGAAAGCAUCUAAGUGCGAAGCCCCCCUCAAGAUGAGAUUUCCCAUUUCUUCAAGAAAGUAAGACACCUCAGAGACGAUGAGGUAGAUAGGCCGGGAGUGGAAGAGCCGUGAGGCUUGGAGCGGACCGGUACUAAUCAGUCGAGGACUUGACCAAAA
rnacentral:rRNA from 1 species